rnacentral:rRNA from 1 species
GAUGAACGCUGGCGGCGUGCCUAAUACAUGCAAGUCGAGCGAACGGACGAGAAGCUUGCUUCUCUGAUGUUAGCGGCGGACGGGUGAGUAACACGUGGAUAACCUACCUAUAAGACUGGGAUAACUUCGGGAAACCGGAGCUAAUACCGGAUAAUAUUUUGAACCGCAUGGUUCAAAAGUGAAAGACGGUCUUGCUGUCACUUAUAGAUGGAUCCGCGCUGCAUUAGCUAGUUGGUAAGGUAACGGCUUACCAAGGCAACGAUGCAUAGCCGACCUGAGAGGGUGAUCGGCCACACUGGAACUGAGACACGGUCCCGACUCCUGCGGGAGGCAGCAGUAGGGAAUCUUCCGCAAUGGGCGAAAGCCUGACAGAGCAACGCCGCGUGAGUGAUGAAGGUCUUCGGAUCGUAAAACUCUGUUAUUAGGGAAGAACAUAUGUGUAAGUAACUGUGCACAUCUUGACGGUACCUAAUCAGAAAGCCACGGCUAACUACGUG